AUUGAACGCUGGCGGCAGGCCUAACACAUGCAAGUCGAGCGGAUGAAGGGAGCUUGCUCCUGGAUUCAGCGGCGGACGGGUGAGUAAUGCCUAGGAAUCUGCCUGGUAGAGGGGGAUAACGUCCGGAAACGGGCGCUAAUACCGCAUACGUCCUGAGGGAGAAAGUGGGGGAUCUUCGGACCUCACGCUAUCAGAUGAGCCUAGGUCGGAUUAGCUAGUUGGUGGGGUAAAGGCCUACCAAGGCGACGAUCCGUAACUGGUCUGAGAGGCUGAUCAGUCACACUGGAACUGAGACACGGUCCAGACUCCUACGGGAGGCAGCAGUGGGGAAUAUUCGACAAUGGGCGAAAGCCUGAUCCAGCCAUGCCGCGUGUGUGAAGAAGGUCUUCGGAUCGUAAAGCACUGUUAGUUGGGAGGAAGGGCAGUAAGUUAAUAUCUUGCUGUUUUGACGUUACCAACAGAAUAAGCACCGGCUAACUUCGUG
rnacentral:rRNA from 1 species